GACCGUUAUAUGAUCCUAGGCCAAAAUGGCUUCUUUGUGAGCCCUUCUGACUCCCUGGCCAUCAUUGCUGCCAACCUCUCUUGCAUUCCAUAUUUCCAUCAGAUGGGGGUCCGCGGGUUUGGGAGGAGUAUGCCAACCAGCAUGGCCCUGGACAGAAAGAGUAACUGCAGUAAUUAGGACCCAAUUGAUGGCAAAGGGAUAUGAUCUAGAAUACCUGAAACUUGGUAAUUUAUGAAGAAAAGGAAUUCAUUUCUUACAGUUAUGGAGGCUGAGAAGUCCAAGGUCCAGGGGCAUAACAGGUGAGAGCCUUCUUACUGUCGAGGACUCUGCAGAGUCCCAAGGUAGUACAGGGGGUGAGGGGGCUGAGCAUGCUAGCUCAGGUCUCUCUUCCUCCUCUUAUAAAGCCACCAGACCCACUCCCAUGGUAACUCAUUAAUCCACUAAUCCAUGAAUGAGUUAAUCCAUUCAUGAGGUCAGAGUCCUCAUGACCAAAUCCCUUCUUAAAGCCCCC
rnacentral:lncRNA from 1 species